rnacentral:sRNA from 1 species
GCCAGGUGCUGUGGCUCACACCUGUAAUCCCAGCACUUUAGGAGGCCUAGGAAGGAGGAUCACUUGAGCCCAGGAGUUUGAGACCAGCCUGGGCAACAUGGUGAGACUCUUGUCUCUACAAAAAUUUUAAAAAUUAGCUGGGCAUGGUGGUGUGUACCUGUGGUCCCAGCUACUCAGGAGGCUUAGGUGGGAGGAUCACUUGAGCCCAGGAGGUUGCGCUGCAGUGAUCCAUGAUUGCACCACUGCACUCUAGCCUGGGCAACAGAGUGAGACCCUCUCUAA